CCUACGGGAGGCUGCAGUCGAGAAUCAUUCACAAUGGGGGAAACCCUGAUGGUGCGACGCCGCGUGGGGGAAUGAAGGUCUUCGGAUUGUAAACCCCUGUCAUGUGGGAGCAAAUUAAAAAGAUAGUACCACAAGAGGAAGAGACGGCUAACUCUGUGCCAGCAGCCGCGGUAAUACAGAGGUCUCAAGCGGUGUUCGGAAUCACUGGGCGUAAGGCGUGCGUAGGCUGUUUCGUAAGUCGUGUGUGAAAGGCGCGGGCUCAACCCGCGGACGGCACAUGAUACUGCGAGACUAGAGUAAUGGAGGGGGAACCGGAAUUCUCGGUGUAGCAGUGAAAUGCGUAGAUAUCGAGAGGAACACUCGUGGCGAAGGCGGGUUCCUGGACAUUAACUGACGCUGAGGCACGAAGGCCAGGGGAGCGAAAGGGAUUAGAUACCCGAGUAGUC
rnacentral:rRNA from 1 species